GAUGAACGCUGGCGGCGUGCCUAACACAUGCAAGUCGAACGAGAACGGGUUAUAGCUUGCUAUAAUUGUCAGCUAAGUGGCGCACGGGUGAGUAAUGUAUAGGUAAUAUGCCUCUUACUAAGGGAUAACAAAUGGAAACGUUUGCUAAUACCUUAUACUCCUUAUUAACAUAAGUUAAUAAGGGAAAGAUUUAUUGGUAAGAGAUUAGCCUGUAUUGUAUCAGUUAGUUGGUGGGGUAAUGGCUUACCAAGACUAUGACACAUAACUGGUUUGAUAGGAUGAUCAUUCACACUGGAACUGAGACACGGUCCAGACUCCUACGGGAGGCAGAAGUGGGGAAUAUUGAACAAUGGACGAAAGUCUGAUGCAGCAACGCCGCGUGGAGGAUGACACAUCUCGGUGCGUAAACUCCUUUUAUAUGAGAAGAAAAUGACGGUAUUAUAUGAAUAAGCACCGGCUAACUCCGUGCCAGCCGCCGCGGUAA
rnacentral:rRNA from 1 species